AUUGCAAGAGAUUUAGAAAUGUAACAUUACACAAAUUAUUUAUUGAACACUAAUGAUAGAUCUGCUAUUACUAAAAACUACUAGGAAUUUUUUUAAGUUUGUUGUUUAUUUAUUUAUUUAUUUAUUUAUUUAUUUAUUUAUUUGAGAGUGGGGAGGGCAGAGAGAGAGACAGAGAGGGAGAGAGAGACAGACUCCCAAACAGAUUCCACACUGUCAGAGCAAAGCCCACUGCAGGGCUCGAACUCACAAACUGCAAAAUCAUAACCGGAGCUGAAAUCAAGAAUCAGAUGCUUAACCUACUAAGCCACCACCCACCCCCAUUUUUUUAAUCCUUGCCUUUCUGCAGUGUUUUUGCUUUUCAAAGACUCCUCAGAAGUACCAUCUUAUUGGAAUUAUCACUAUACAUCAAGGUGGUAUGGAUAUGAUUAUCUCUAAUAAAUUAAAACCCAAGAUAUGUUACAUUUAGAAUUAUAAGAGAAAAAAUAAUCAUGAAAUGCUUCCAAGGAAAGUAUUUAAUUGUCAAAUCAGAUUUGUUGCUUUUAAUUAUCAUUCUUCUUUCCUUGAUGGGAGACCAGGAUAGAAACCAUUUCCUGUCUUCCCAAUGAGUAUUCUUUUUGAAGGAUAUAGGAUUCAUGGGGUCUAAAAAAAAAAAUGCAUCUUUACAGUAUUGAUAUUUAGAAUAGAGCUCUGUAAUGCCCAGAAAGAUUGAGUCCAUUUUAGGGUUAAAAAAUAGGACUGUAUUAUCAAUAUCAUUGAUACUACAUUGAGUUGAGCUACCUUCUCUCCACCAGGCAGAACUGACAGAGAAAGAUGACCUUGGAGCUUGAAAGAAUCUUUCACAGUGUCAUCUGAUCACUGUCUUCUGCAGUCAUGGGCAUAAAGCAGUAGAUGGCCACUGGGUCUUCAUCCAGUACGUAAAGAUGCUUCUCAAUAAAAAACUACUGAUAUUGAGUCCUUUGGCUUUCAAUUCAGAGGAGACCCAGGUGCAGCUCUCUUUAGUCCUCCAGAAUCAUGCAACACCAUCCGCCUCUACCAUGUCACCUAAGUUUGACCCCAGUGAGAUCAAAGUCCUGUACCCGAGGUUCCCCAUUGGGGAAGUUGAUGCGUUUCUGCCCUGGCCCAGAAGAUCAACCCCCUGGGUCUGUUUCCAAAAAAGGUGGUCAUUUGCCCUCCUAAUAUCAAAGAAUCAAUCUAUGAUCAAGAAAGAUUGAUAAG
rnacentral:lncRNA from 1 species